rnacentral:rRNA from 1 species
GCAGCGACUUAACUGAACCUUCGGGGAACGUUAAGGGCGGCGAGCGGCGGACGGGUGAGUAAUGCCUGGGAAUAUGCCCUGAUGUGGGGGAUAACUAUUGGAAACGAUAGCUAAUACCGCAUAAUCUCUUCGGAGCGAAGAGGGGGACCUUCGGGCCUUUCGCGUCAGGAUUAGCCCAGGUGGGAUUAGCUUGUUGGUGAGGUAAUAGCUCACCAAGGCAACGAUCCCUAGCUGGUCUGAGAGGAUGAUCAGCCACACUGGAACUGAGACACGGUCCAGACUCCUACGGGAGGCAGCAGUGGGGAAUAUUGCACAAUGGGGGAAACCCUGAUGCAGCCACGCCGCGUGUAUGAAGAAGGCCUUCGGGUUGUAAAGUACUUUCAGUAGGGAGGAAGGCAGUGUCGUUAAUAGCGGCAUUGUUUGACGUUCCUACAGAAAAGCACCGGCUAACUCCGUGCCAGCACGGAGGGUGCGAGCGUUAAUCGGAAUUACUGGGCGUAAAGCGCAUGCAGGCGGUCUGUUAAGCAAGAUGUGAAAGCCCGGGGCUCAACCUCGGAACAGCAUUUUGAACUGGCAGACUAGAGUCUUGUAGAGGGGGGUAGAAUUUCAGGUGUAGCGGUGAAAUGCGUAGAGAUCUGAAGGAAUACCGGUGGCGAAGGCGGCCCCCUGGACAAAGACUGACGCUCAGAUGCGAAAGCGUGGGGAGCAAACA